UGCUUUCUCCUCCCUAAUGUCUUUCACCUGUGUCUUGUUAUGUUGUCUAUUUAGUCCUCGUCUUCCCGGUCACUGUUGUUGGUGCGUUAUAUUGUCUUCAGGUCAGGCUUUGCUUUGUCGCCAUGCCAGGAUUUGCGUUUAUCUCAUCAUGCCAAGUUUUUUGGCUCCACAAUAUUUUUGUUCCAUUGCCACAUGGCUUUCGACAUGGCAGACAGGCGUGAAGUUAAAGCAAAGCAGCGAUUGGUUCCAGCGAGCAGAGUCUAAUCAGCACAUCAAGCUGUCUCUUCGCUCUGUUUCUCCUCAUUCAUGGAGAUGGAUGUCAAUGAGCAAAAACUCAACACCUGUAGAAGAUUCUGGGGCAGUGCGUCGGCGCUCUCCAAACCAUCAUCAUAACAGCUUGUGGUAUCUCAGCACCUCACUAAAACAGGUUGGUUUUUUUGAAUCUCUCUCACUUGUGCAUCUUCCCUGAUGGACGAACACAAAGGCAAGAGGAGACUGACACUGACACAUAGACAGCCGCUGUUUGUGUUGCGUCAUUUUCACACACCUCAAACACAUCGCACCCCCACCGCAACACA